AGUUGAGCUGCUGAAAUGAAUAGACGUUAUUGAAAGUGAGAUGUUUUAGAUGUUUUCUUUUUCUCUGAGCCUUUUCAGUUAGAAGGACCUUUCCCCACCUUUGCUGAGGUGGCCAGUGAGUUUGUGGAAGCUGACACACUUCCUGGAUCUGUGCUGGACUCUGAAGUUAACUGAAAGCCUUACCAGCAGCACCUGUCUCUCUCUGUGUCUCUACAGUCUUCAUCUGUCUAAUGUGUCUUCAGCUGCCAGAAUGUACUCAACCCAUCGUUUGUCGGCUCGUCUCUGGACCAAGCCGAGAAGAAACUCUACUUCUUCUUUAGUGAAAUUGGGAAAGAGUUUAACUUCCUGGACGAACUGCAGAUCUCCCGUGUGUCUCAAGUCUGCAAGGACGAUGUGGGAGGACAGAGGACUCUGCAGAGGAAGUGGACGUCCUUUGCCAAAGCAAAGUCCCCC
rnacentral:lncRNA from 1 species